AGACCGGUUUACUGGUCGUGCCUUGGUACGUACUGGAAUUAUUGGUUUCUCCUUUCUGACGAACUAUAAUGCCAUUAAUUUGGUGUUAUAGGGAAUCAGGACUGUUACUUUGAAAAAAUUAGAGUGUUUAAAGCAGGCUCACGCUUGAAUACAUUAGCAUGGAAUAACGGAAUAGGACGUUUGAUUCUAUUUUGUUGGUUUCUAGGAUCGACGUA
rnacentral:rRNA from 1 species